rnacentral:sRNA from 1 species
CGGCAGGUGGUGGCUGUGACAGGGGAUGGCACCAACGAUGGGCCGGCCCUCAAGAAGGCAGACGUGGGCUUCGCCAUGGGCAUCGCAGGGACCGACGUGGCCAAGGAGGCCUCCGACAUCAUCCUGACCGAUGACAACUUCACCAGCAUCGUCAAGGCAGUGAUGUGGGGCCGUAACGUCUAUGACAGCAUCUCCAAGUUCCUGCAGUUUCAACUGACGGUCAAUGUGGUGGCCGUGAUCGUGGCCUUCACAGGCGCCUGCAUUACUCAGUUCUGGAAGUUUCCUAUGAAUGGAAUCAGACAGUACGUGGCCUUGUGUGUCUGGCUUCUGUGAGGCUGAUUUUUAACCAACAACUCAGAGGAGCUGAGAAGGAAAGUCCAGUUCAGAGUUUCUGCCUCCUCCUGCCCCUGAGGUGCAGGAGACAAGGAGAGCAGCCCUCACUCUGUUGCCCCAGAUGGCAGACCCCAUCGUCGGGCUGUUUUGUGGUCUGGGGUUUUUCACCUCCGGCGAGGGAUUUGGAGCACACCUGCUGCCAGGACUCUCCUCUCAAAGCCGUGCAGAUGUUGUGGGUGAACUUGAUCAUGGACACGUUUGCCUCUCUGGCCCUGGCGACGGAGCCACCCACGGAGUCGCUGCUGCUGCGGAAGCCGUACGGCCGCGACAAGCCCCUCAUCUCCCGCACCAUGAUGAAGAACAUUCUGGGCCACGCCGUGUACCAGCUCGCCAUCAUCUUCACCCUGCUGUUUGUCGGGGAGCUCUUCUUCGACAUCGACAGCGGGAGGAACGCGCCGCUGCACUCACCACCCUCAGAGCACUACACCAUCAUCUUCAACACCUUCGUCAUGAUGCAGCUCUUUAACGAGAUCAACGCCCGCAAGAUCCACGGCGAGAGGAACGUG